GACGAACGCUGGCGGCGUGCUUAACACAUGCAAGUCGAACGAAGUGGCGAACGGGUGAGUAAUACGUGUGUAACCUGCCCUCCUCUUCGGGAUAAGCUUUGGAAACGGGGUCUACUACCGAAUAAAGGGGGAUGGGUGCGCGGCCUAUCAGCUUGUUGGUGGGGUGUUGGCCUACCAAGGCGGUGACUGGUAGCCGGCCUGAGAGGGUGGCCGGCGACAUUGUGACUAAGAUUCGGCCCAGAGACGUUCGAGAGGCAGCAGUGGGGGGUAGUAGACGAUGAGCGAGAGUCAGAUGCGGCGACGCCGCGGAGGGAAUGUGGGCUUUCGGGUUGUAAACCUCUUUUGCAAGCGAACGGGUAGGUGGAGAAGAAGCGCCGGCUAACUACGUGCCAGCAGCCGCGGUAAUAC
rnacentral:rRNA from 1 species